GUUCCUAUGGUCUAGUGGUUAUGACGCUUCGUUGUGGACCGUGAAUCGAACACACGAUUACGUAACUCCGAAGCAGCCCGUGUUCGAUUCACGGUGGGGACA